rnacentral:rRNA from 1 species
UACGGAGGGUGCGAGCGUUGUCCGGAAUCACUGGGCGUAAAGGGAGCGUAGGCGGAUAGUUUAGUCAGAGGUGAAAGCCCAGGGCUCAACCUUGGAACUGCCUUUGAUACUGGCUAUCUUGAGUAUGGGAGAGGUGAGUGGAACUCCGAGUGUAGAGGUGUAAAUUCGUAGAUAUUCGCAAGAACACCAGUGGCGAAGGCGGCUCACUGGCCCGAUACUGACGCUGAGGCACGAAAGCGUGGGGAGCAAACAGG